GCAGGAGGCAGAGCUGCUGCGAGAAGAAGACCCAGGAGAUCUCGGGCAGCGAGCUGCGCGUCUGGCAGCGCAGGUCCAGCAGCGUGGGCCCCAGGAAGGCGAUGCACAGGCCGAAGCUGAAGAAGACGCUCCAGUAGCACCAUGACAUUGCCUACCUCCUCCAGGAAGCUUGCUCAGAAAAGUAUCUGUCUAGCUCCCAAGUCCCAGCAAGCCCCCUGCACUCCUUUUGCCCUACAGUCUUUGUAGUGUCAGCUGUUACAUUUCAGCAAGUGUUAGCUUCCUGUUCCUGCCACCCUGCCUCUCCUGUGGCCAAUUAAACGGACUUACGCCAGCACGCUGAGCCUCCCAGGACUGCUGUAGUUAGUGCUCUGACCCCAUGGAAGGCCACGGUCAACCACAUCUCCAUCAGAGACUCCUGGACACUCACAGGGGACAUGGGUUCAGUCCCUGGUCUGGGAAGAUUCCACAUGCUGUGGCGCAACAAAGUCUGCGCACCACAGCUACGGAGUGGGCACUCGUGAGCCCACGUGCUGCAACUACUGAAGCCUGUACGCCCAGAGCCUGCACUCUGCAACGAGAGAAGCGCCUCAGUGAGGAGCCUGCACACCACAACGAAGAGUAGCCCCCGCCUGCCACGGCAAAGA